rnacentral:rRNA from 1 species
GCGUAUAUUAAAGUUGUUGCAGUUAAAAAGCUCGUAGUUGAAUUUCGGGGUCAGUAGGUUGGUCGUGCCACUGGUAUGAACUGGUUUUACUGAUUCCUCCCUCUUGAAGAACUGUAAUGCCAUUAAUUUGGUGUUGCAGGGAAUCAGGACUGUUACUUUGAAAAAAUUAGAGUGUUUAAAGCAGGCA